UCUCCUUUCCAUCUGUCCCUCUCCCAACGCCGGCCCUAGAGAUCUCUCUCUCGCACGCCCUCUCUCUCUCUCUCUGAAGCUCGGUUGAAGGCUAGCUCAUUGACAAUCGUGAGCAUAGAGCAUGCUAAAAAUAAAAUUUUAGUUGUUGAUUGACUCCUACGACUAAGGGAAGUAAUAGUUGACAUCGACAACUAUAUCUUGGUGCUACAUUAAGACAACAUAUGGCUUGAACUCAUGGAUCAUGGGAGAAGUUUGUUAUAUCGUCCCCAGGUGUGGGAAGUGUAGGAAUUAUUUAAACUGCUCCAAUUUUAUCUUUGUUAACUAUAGUUUGUGUUGCAGGUUGUGGAAUGUGAGUUGUUGGUGGUCCGUGCAAGCGAAUUACCAUACGAGGGACAUGAACCAGUUGAGGAUGUUUAUGGCAAAAAAUGCAUUGCAUGGCAGUUGUCAUGCAAGCAACCUGCAGGUGAACUCAGUCAGCUUUCUGCCAGGAGUAAACAUGAGAAGAACAAUGUCUUAUAGAAUUGACAGUUAACAUUGUUCAAGACUCCAUUUGUCAUUUAGAGAACGUGUUCUGCCUAUCACAUGCAGUCCCCAACAUCACAAAUGCAAAAUCAACAACAACAAAGGCAAUAAAUUAUACCAGACUAGGCAACCGCUGUUGAGGUACAAAACCUUCUUGUUUCUGGUAGAAGGAAAGAGGCUCUAUGGUGUGCACAAGAAGGUCAGUUGUGGGGCAUCUUUUGAUUGAUUUAAGCGUGCAUAUGUGGUCUUACGAAGCAGUUGGACUUGUGGUCUUUUGACCACAUGAGCCGUCAUCCGGACCUUGCUUUGCAGACCACAGCUGCAGCAAAAGAUCCUUGUCAUGAGGAACUGACAUGUUGUGUGGUGACUCCUCAUGUGCCUUCGCUGCUUUGAAAAAUGUCUCUGCUGCUGCAGAUAAUUUUUGGGAUGCAAAUAAGCUUAGACAGACUGUUUUGGGACUGUUUAUAAGGUAACUUCCAUGAAAACAUAAUUUUGUAGCCUACUACAUAUCAUCGUUGUUUUGAUCUAUCACACUCAAUGUAAUCACAAGUACAUAGCUGGCUUGUAAAGAGAUUUAAGAGUUGGGUCUUUUGAUAGCAGGGAUGAUUCAUGGAUUUUUUUUCCUGUUUUCCUAGAACUCAUGCAGUGCAGCUGUUAGAACAUCACACAACCCUGCAGCAAAAAGAAAUCCAUGGUCAUAUCGGCUCUUGUACCUAACGCAAACAUUUUUUCCUGGUAAUGGGCACUCUAUUUUAGCCUCGAAUAAGAAGCUAAAAAAGGUGAGCUCUAUGGUUUUGGUGCACUAAAAUGAUUUUUGUUCUUUGCCAAUCUUUUAGUUUUAUU